rnacentral:lncRNA from 1 species
AUUUGACCUGACAAUGAUGUUGAAGUGCCUUAGUGACUACAUUGCAGCUUGGGAAACUUCUGUGCUUGGCAUUUAGCCAUAGCUGAUCCCUCGGUUCAUGGUUGGUGGUGUCCAGCAGACAGAAUACAGCAGAUGCUGAGACAAUAAGUCAUCACACUUUGGCUACUUCUAGAGACAGACAAAGUGAAGAUAAACAAGAAGAGAUGGAGAUCUGUUGAUGAUGCUGUAUGAUGACACAUUUACACCUUUAGAGGACAGACAUAAAAAUGGAAUCGCACUGACCAGCACAUGUUGGAUGACCAUAUCUA